rnacentral:rRNA from 1 species
CCUACGGGAGACAGCAGUGAGGAAUAUUGGUCAAUGGGCGGGAGCCUGAACCAGCCAAGUCGCGUGAGGGACGACGGUCCUAUGGGUUGUAAACCUCUUUUGUCGGGGAACAAAGGCGCCCACGGGUGGGCGGAUGAGUGUACCCGAAGAAAAAGCAUCGGCUAACUCCGUGCCAGCAGCCGCGGUAAUACGGAGGAUGCGAGCGUUAUCCGGAUUUAUUGGGUUUAAAGGGUGCGUAGGCGGACAGUCAAGUCAGCGGUAAAAAUGCGGUGCUCAACGCCGUACAGCCGUUGAAACUGGGGAUCUAGAGUGUGCGAGAGGUAUGCGGAAUGCGUGGUGUAGCGGUGAAAUGCAUAGAUAUCACGCAGAACCCCGAUUGCGAAGGCAGCAUACCGGUGCACAACUGACGCUCAGGCACGAAAGCGUGGGUAUCGAACAGGAUUAGAUACCCGAGUAGUC